GCCAGACUCCUACGGGAGGCAGCAGUGAGGAAUAUUGGUCAAUGGUCGGGAGACUGAACCAGCCAAGCCGCGUGAGGGAUGAAGGUACAGAGUAUCGUAAACCUCUUUUGUCAGGGAACAAAGGCGGGGACGCGUCCCCGGAUGAGUGUACCUGAAGAAAAAGCAUCGGCUAACUCCGUGCCAGCAGCCGCGGUAAUACGGAGGAUGCGAGCGUUAUCCGGAUUUAUUGGGUUUAAAGGGUGCGCAGGCGGCUGUUGUAGGCACGGGCAGAGCGCCGGGGGCCCCCCCCCGGCCCGCCGUUGAAACUGGCAGUCUCGAGUUGGAGAGAAGUAUGCGGAAUGCGCGGUGUAGCGGUGAAAUGCAUAGAUAUCGCGCAGAACUCCGAUUGCGAAGGCAGCAUGCCGGCUCCACACUGACGCUGAGGCACGAAAGCGUGGGUAUCGAACAGGAUUAGAUACCCCGGUAA
rnacentral:rRNA from 1 species